GGACCCGCACAAGCGGUGGAUGAUGUGGAUUAAUUCGAUGCAACGCGAAAAACCUUACCUACCCUUGACAUGCCAGGGAUCCUGCAGAGAUGUGGGAGUGCUCGCAAGAGAACCUGGACACAGGUGCUGCAUGGCUGUCGUCAGCUCGUGUCGUGAGAUGUUGGGUUAAGUCCCGCAACGAGCGCAACCCUUGUCUUCAGUUGCCAUCAUUGAGUUGGGCACUCUGGAGAGACUGCCGGUGACAAACCGGAGGAAGGUGGGGAUGACGUCAAGUCCUCAUGGCCCUUAUGGGUAGGGCUUCACACGUCAUACAAAUGGUCGGUACAGAGGGAAGCGAAGUCGCGAGGCGGAGCCAAUCCUGAUAAAGCCGAUCGUAGUCCGGAUCGCAGUCUGCAACUCGACUGCGUGAAGUCGGAAUCGCUAGUAAUCGCGGAUCAGCAUGCCG
rnacentral:rRNA from 1 species